CUCAAAAAUGAGCCAGCGUCGCGAACGGUACCCUAGUCCGGAUGGUGCAACGUCAGUUAGUAGUGAGAGAAACAGAGAAAAAGAGCUUUGAUAAUCGUGAAUAAUUUUGUUAGCAGUGCCAAACAUUACCGAGAAAAAACAAGAACAAAAACAAAAAAUUCAGUGAAAUAUUCAGAAGAAGAAUAACACUUCAGCCGCAGAUCUGCACAAAUUUUUUUGAGGUGUCUGAAGCAACAGCCGAAAGGAAGCGGAAACGAAGCCCGAAGCCAGUUCGUGGACGAACCGAAUGCCAUCGUCAUCGUCGUCCUCCGUGUGGGUGUUUAUUUAACACAGUUCCUCGUGCGCCGCCCGUUCAGUUCGUGUCCGAAGUCCGUGCCGUACGCGCUCGCCUCCGACGACCGCCCCAACGCAAUCCGGCGAAAGCAGAGAUACAUUGACAGAGACGUAAACGUAACCGUAGAUAGUCAGGUGUGAAAUGUGAAGAUCGGUGGACCCGUAACCAAAUGUCGCUCAACGUUAACCGUGCUCAAGCUUCGCACUCACACGUCUCCCAAAUAGUAGACCAAUAGUGCACUUCGUACAGUAAUCCGCAACAAGCUCGAGCAACCCCCUCUUCAACAGAGAACUCUAUAGUGCAUCCAGAAGCAAGGAAGACAAUAUGUGCUCCAUGGGGAACCUGCGCCCCCAAGGCGCAGACACUGGCCGCAAUCGCCGCCGCCUGCACAGCAGCACCCACAGCCCCCUCAAUCGCCUUAGCCGCCUCAGUGCUCUGCUCCUCGUCCUGGGCGCGCAAAUAAUUUAUGUUGAAUAUGCUCGGGCGGAUUAUGAGAACACUUGGAAUUUAUAUUACGAGCCGCCCUGUUGUUCGGGAACAGCUGCCGGCCAUCAUCUGCGCCACCACAAAGAUCACGUCAAGGACUUUAGCUGCGGACCGCUGCACUACAGAACCUUCUAUAUGGAUGAGCGCAACAAUGCCCUCUAUGUGGGCGCCAUGGAUCGGAUCUUUCGGCUGAAUCUGCGCAACAUAAGCCAAUCGAUAUGCGAGCGCGAUGUCCUCAUCCUGGAACCCACCGGCUCCGACAUCCUGAACUGCGUGUCCAAGGGGAAGCGGGAGAAGGUGGAGUGCCGCAAUCACAUACGCGUCAUCCAGCCAAUGAACUUCAACGGGCAUCGACUCUAUGUGUGCGGCACGAAUGCCCACAAUCCCAAGGACUACGUUAUAAAUGCAAACUUAACACAUUUACCCAGAUCCCAGUACGUGCCCGGCGUCGGCCUGGGCAUUGGCAAGUGUCCCUACGAUCCCGCUGACAACUCAACCGCCGUCUAUGUGGAGAACGGAAAUCCCUUUGGUUUGCCCGCGCUGUACGCCGGCACCAAUGCUGAAUUCACCAAGGCCGAUUCGGUUAUAUUCCGCUCGGAUCUCUACAAUCUGACCAACGGCCGCAAGGAGGCAAACUUCAAGCGAACGGUGAAAUAUGACUCCAAGCUACUGGACAAACCCAACUUUGUGGGCUCCUUUGAGAUUGGCGAGUUCGUGUACUUCUUCUUCCGCGAACAUGCCGUGGAGUACAUCAACUGCGGCAAGGAGGUCUACUCCCGCGUGGCACGCGUCUGCAAGAACGAUCGCGGCGGCAAGUACAUGAUCAGCCAGAACUGGGCCACGUAUCUGAAGGCCCGCAUGAACUGCAGCAUCUCCAGCGAGUUCCCCUUCUACUUCAACGAGAUCCAGUCGGUCUACAAGAUGCCCAGCGACGACAGCAAGUUCUAUGCCACCUUCACGACGAACACGAACGGUCUGAUUGGUUCCGCUGUCUGUAGCUAUGACAUCAGGGACAUAAAUGCGGCCUUCGAAGGAAAAUUCAAGGAGCAGGCCAGCUCAAACAGCGCCUGGCUGCCCGUACUCAACCAGAAAGUGCCGGAGCCACGUCCGGGCACAUGCCACAACGACACCGCCACACUGCCGGACUCCGUGUUGAAUUUCAUACGUAAACAUCCGCUAAUGGACAAGGCGGUCGAUCAUGAAUUUGGCAAUCCGGUCUUCUUCAAGCGAGACAUAAUACUCACCAAGCUGGUGGUGGACAAGAUACGCAUCGACAAGCUGAACCAGGAGUUUCUGGUGUACUUUGUGGCCACGAGCUCGGGGCAAAUCUACAAGAUAGUCCAGUUCAUGCACUACGGCCAGCGCCACUCGAAUCUGAUCGACAUCUUCGAGGCCUCGCCGCACAACGAACCCAUCCGCGAGCUGAUCCUCAGCCAGAAGACGGGCUCCCUCUACCUGGCCACCGAUCACCAGGUGAAGCAGAUCGACAUUGCCAUGUGCGCCCGCCGCUACGACAGCUGCUUCCGCUGUGUGGCCGAUCCGUACUGCGGCUGGGACCAGGAGGUGAAUGCCUGCCGGCCCUACCAGCUCGGACUCCUCCAGGACGUGGCCAACGAGACGUCGGGCAUCUGCGAUACGAGUGUGCUCCGCAAGCGCGUCACCUCCUCCUACGGCCAGACACUGCACCUCUCGUGCUUCGUCAAGAUGCCAGAGGUGCUGAGGAAGAAGCAGACGCGAUGGUAUCAUCACUCCACCGAGAAGGGACGCUAUGAGGUACGCUACACGCCCACCAAAUACAUUGAAACGAACGAGGGCGGCCUGGUCCUGCUGGCGGUUAAUGAGGGCGACGGCGGCCGCUAUGAUAGCUACUUGGAUGGCACCCUGCUCUGCAGCUACGGGGUAACCGUGGACGCGCACAGAUGCUCGCCACCGUCGCAGAAGCAGGACUACCAGAAGAUCUACUCGCAUUGGUGCAACGAAUUCGAGAAAUACAAAUCGGCCAUGAAACAAUGGCAGGCCAAGCAGGAGCAAUGCGGCCUCAAGGACAAGGCAGGAUCCGUCGGCAGCAAUGGCAAACACGUUAACGAUGUGUUCAGCAACGAUGCCCUGGUCUGACCCAGAAAGUACUUAUACAGCUCUGAGUUCUUGUCGUCGUCAUCGUCGGAGGGAGGCGUGCCGCCCUCCCACCACAAACUGUACAUUUUCGUGUUCGGGCUUGCCAUAUUUGCUCGUUUCUAAAGUUUCUAGUUAAAAUGUAAAUUUGGAGUGGAGAUGAAGCAAAACCAAACACAGUAAGCAGAAGGAGACAGAGAGGAUGCCAGGAUGGGAAAAAUCAUGUGACAAGAGCCGAGCAGAAACCAACUACAAAGACUGAAAUUUUUAAGCUUUUAGCAACGACAAUAUUUCGGAUAAUUUCAAUGAGUUUUCUUUUACAACACUUUGAGUUACGUUUGCAUUUCCGUUUCCGUUCGUUUUGAGAUGUUGUCAGCGUCAAACAUUGAUUGAUUUCGACAUUAACUAACUGAUAUACAAAGAUGGAGUAAACGAUAAAAGUUACUAGCAAAAGGAUCCUGCCAUAAAUGAAAUGGAAAUUACGGUUUUACACACACUCACACACAGAACACACUCUCCGACACAGAUAAUCUCUAUAUCUAUUUCGAGCUAUGGUUAAGGAUACAGACCACCUAAAGUGAGAAUCUGACAAGUAUAUACAUACAUAGCUCACAUGACGAUGAUGAUGAUGAUGAUGAUGAUGAUGAUCACUUUUAGCAUUGAUUUCCAUUUAGUUAUGUUUUCGAGAACUCGUCGCUUGGCCAUUUUGGGUUUUUGGGGUUGGGAAGAUCUUAAACGAAUUUGUAUAUUACUUAGCAAUAUUUGUUUAACUAAACAUAGACUAAGAUAUACCUAUACAUUACUAUAUAUACAUGUAUAUGUAUGUUCAUGAAUAGCUGCCCAAUGUUUAGGUCAUAGACAAGUACGGAACCAACUUAUACCAUAGCCAAACACACACAAAAUAAACAGAAUCCAGGACGCACAGCAGAAAAGUAAGGGAAAAGGUAAAGGAUUAAGGAUAGAGGAUAGUGGAUAAUGUUGAAUGUUGUAUAUAGUAGAACUGCUUUAGUCGUUAAGAUAACUAACCAGGCAUUGAUUUUACGUUUCUACGAUUUGAUUUUGGUUUUGAACGAUUCGCUAUUUGGCAUUAACUCGCUCUUGUAUAGAUUGUGCGUUGGCCUAAUGUUUAUGAUAA